rnacentral:lncRNA from 1 species
UUCGAGGCGUUUUCCGGCCAAACCACGGCGAGUUAUAUGUCGUGUGAGGUACCAUUCUCUUCGUCUCUUUAAGGGCUACAACUUUCGUUUUUUUCUCGCUUGAUUUCGUUGUGUAGUGACAAAGUUAUAGUCGUUUAAAGUUGGGUGGUUUUCCGGCCGAAUCUCCGGCCUUCUUCCUCGGCAACCAGGCCUUUCAGGCCAUUAGAACCCCCCGGGCCUUAGCCAAUUGGGCUAGCCCAGUAACCCAGCCCGCACCCUUUUAUUUUUAAGUUAUUUUGUUUUCAAGACCCAAAAGGCCACGGGCCUUAAUACUGAAGGUCCUUGGGCCAAUUUCUGUCAAAGGGCUUAAAGCCCUGCCCUUUGUGAGGCCUUAGGGCCGGCUUUGGUGUGAAUGGGCUGUGUGUGUGUGUGUGUGUGGGUUUAAAGCCCAAACCACCAUUUUUCAUCCUAAACCAUUUUUAACCCAAAAACCCAAUAGGUCCUAACCCUAUUUAACCUAAACCUAAACCCUAAUCCGGAUUUCAAGCCUAAAACCCGUUUGACCUAAUUUGACCGUUGACCCCCGGUCAACGUUGACUUUAGGGUUGACUUUUCGGGUUUUCGUCCGGGACCCUUCUUAGGGUAAUUCGACGUUCUGAAUCCAUUUCCAAUGUCCGUUUUCCCAAAUUCAAUUGCUAUUAUAUAGUUUUAUUUAUUGGACUUUUUAUGUGCUUAGGGGCAAUUAUUGUGACGUUUCCGUCUUCACUAGUGGCGCAGUUUUUGGCGGCUAAGUACUAUGAGUGGACCCCUUCUAAAAUUACAUGAUUUGAUAAUUUAAUUGCAUAAAUGAUUAGCAUGCCUACGGAUUUAUAAUUUGAUUUAUGUGAAACCUAUUGAUUUAAUAUAUUGAUUAUCGUCUCGUGUUUUGGUGAGGAAUUAAUUGUUAGCCUAUAUUGAGCUAUAUUUUAAUAUAUCGUAUUUUCUAUUAAAACCAUGAACUGGUAGACUAUCUGAUAGAUGACGAUAGGAUGCUAGAACAUGUUUUUGAACCCUCUUUAUAGUGUAGACGAUGAUCGGUAACCUAUGCUAUGAAGUGGUUAUUUAAGAGAGGCGUAACUAUUUGUGCGUACCUAGUGGAUACUAUGCCGCCUGGGGCGAGAAUCUGGUGUUGGCAUUUAGGCUGGGAGAAAUAAUCCCUAGCGAAAGGCUGAGGGACACGGUGACAGGCAUUGGGCCGGGAGAGAGUUAUCUCUGGCUACGGGCACAGAGACUUAGGUGUAGGCAUUGGGCCGGGAGUUAUAUUUAUUCGGUGAUCUUACUAGCAGCACACCGCGCUUACGAGACGAUUUAUGAGACGUUUAAUAUUUUGAUUUCUGCAAUGAGUUUCCGCGAUAUGGCUUUUGAGAUAUUUUGGCAUGCUAGGAUUUUGAUUUAAAUCCAUCACUUAUUAUGCUAGUAGUUUUCAUUUAUAUAAACUGUGGGGGUUAGUAUCUUGAUAACUGUUUUAUUAUUAUUGUAUAUAUGAACUUGGUCCACUCACCUUUGUUUUGCGCCCCCAUUCAGGACUUAGAAUCAAGGCACCUAAUCCCGGCGUGAAGGCACUUCCGCAGCAGCAUCUUCGAAUCCUCUCGAUGUAGGACCUACUCCUUUAUUCAUUAAAUUUUAUCUUAAUUCUUUUUAGUGAUUAGGUUUGUAUGCUCUAAACACGUUCCUAAAUUAUUAAUUCUUCGUAUUUUUAAAUUUCUAACCCUUAUUUAUUUCUUAUUCUUAGUUUUUGUAUCAAUUAAUGGCUUUCGUCACCC